rnacentral:sRNA from 1 species
UAUCCAAAAAUGCGCCAAGGCACCGUAAACGCGCCAAGGCACCGAAAAUGCGCCA